CCACACCCACAGCAUGUGGAAGUUCCUGGGCCAAGGAUCAAACCCAUGCAGUGACCACGCAGUGACCUGGGCCGCUGCAGUGACAAUGCUGGAUCCUUAAUCUGAUGUGCCACAAGAGAAUUCCCUAGAUGGAUCAUUUCUUAAUGAAAUAAAAUAUAUGUCUAUAAUACAAGAUGUUAUACUUACUGGAUGAACACCAAAAGCAUUCCCAUUAUUAUCCAACACAGUGUUGCCCGUAUCUUCACCAGUAUUCUUUAAGAUAUUUUUUUCUGUAUGUAGCAGCCUAUAUAAUUGGAGAGGUGAAAGGAAAAUGAAACAAGAAUUGAACAGAAGAAAUAAUUUUUUGUAUUAUUUUUAUAAUUAGAAAAUCCAAGAGGAUCAAGUAAAAUUUGUAGAAAAAUUAAUUAUCUAGUUAUUAAAUUAAUAUACAGAAAUCAAGCUUCUCUGUUUACAAAUAACUGUACAGAAUAAAUGGGGAGAAAUUCCACUUUAUAAGCCACCAAAACCAGGAGAAAGCAAACAGAACCUAAAAAUAGACUUAAGCAGUAUGUCAACUCCAUAUGAAGAUGACUUUAAUAAAACUCCAAGAGACAUAAAGUAAGGCUUGAAUAAAUAGCUAGUUUUAACCUACAUUUUUCUUGAAGGAUAGCACGUGUUUUCAGUUGAAUAGCUCCAUUGUCCUGACCUGUGAAAUCCAAGAAGUCUGAUAGCUUUCUUCAUUCUGUCCUGCUUUCUUUGUCUCCUUUAGUUCAAACUGGCAGUACCUCUACUGGUAUAAUCUCAUUUCUAUUCCUGACUUCCAUUGAAAUGACUGAUUAAAUUUAUAAGUUGCACUAAUGAUUUUUUAGUCAAAUGAUUGGUCACGAAGUUCCUGUUGUGGCACAGCAGAAACAAAUCUGAGCAGUAACCAUGAAGUUGUGGGUUCAGUCCCUGCCCUCGCUCAGUGGUUAAGGAUUGGUGUUGCCAUGAGCUGUGGUGUAGGUUGCAGAAGCAGCUCAGAUCUGGUGUUGCUGUGGUUGUGGUAUAGGCUGGUGGCUACAGUUCCGAUUCGAUCCUUAGCCUGGGAACCUCCAUCUGCCACCAGUGCAGCCCAUAACAACAACAACAGAAAAGAUUGGCCAGUCACACUCUUAGUAUUUUCUUCAGGACACAUUGUCUCAUUUUUUGCAGUGUGGAUAAGCUGACAAUUUACCAAACCUUCUAAUUCUGGUUCCCUUUUACUUGACAAUUACUGCUUCAAUUGUCUCUCUCUUUUAAUCUUUUCCUAUAAGCAAUCAGAAGGGAUCAAGCCACUCUUUCAACACUGCUUAGAAAUCUCCUCAGCUAAUUAUCCACUUUCAUCACUUGCAAGUUCUACUUUCCAAAAACACUAGAAUGUAGUUUGGCUAUUUGCCACUUUAUAAUAAGGAUUGCCUUCCCUCCAGUUUCAAACAACAUAUUUCUUAUGUCUGAAAACUCACCAAAAUCGCCCUAAUAUACAUAUUUCUAGCAUGUACUCAAAACAGUUCCAGCCCCUACCAGUUACCCAGUUCCAAAGCCACUUUCAUAUAUUUUUUUAAUGUAGGUAUUGCAGCAACAUCCUACUCUCAGUACCAAAAGCUGUCUUAGUCUGCUUAGGUGGCCAUAACAGAACACCAUAGACUGAGUGGCUGAAACAGCAGAGAUUGAUUUUCUCACAGUUCUUGAAGCUGGAAGCCUGAGAUGACGGUUUAGGGUUUCAGCAUGGUGGAUUUCUGGUGAUGGCUCUCUUCCUGGCUUUAGGUGUUUCCUUUCCUGCUCUCUCUUUGCCAUGUCAGGACACAGGGAGAUGGCAGCAUCUAUAAGGUGGGAAGAAAGCCAUUAGCAGAAAACAACCAUGUUGGCACCCUGAUCUCAGAUGCCCAAACACCAGAAAUGUGAGAAAAUAAAUUUCUGUUGUUUAAGACCCUACUCUGUGGUAUUUUGUUAUGGUAGCCCAAACGGUUUUAGACACUGAUAAAUCUUUUCCUUGAUUUAAUUUUCACUCUGCUGAACUUUCUCAAUUACUUAGAAUGAUUAUAAAAAUGGUAUAAUUUUAGCUUCCUUGCAUGUUCCUAAAUGUAUGUCUUUCAUAUAAAAAUAAGAUUAUGAGGAUAUAUUCUUGGAUCAUGGCUCUUUCCUCUGGUAAUCUGUUCUUAGCUUACAUGAGAAACUCGAUGCUGUUUUAAUUUUCUUUCUUCUGUAAGUAAUCUAUUAUUUCUAUCUGUAGGCUUAUAAAAUUUUCUAUUUAUCUCUGUCAUUCAAAAAAUUCCUUAGAUAACUCUUGAAAUUAACCCUAUUUUAAACUCAGUGAGCCUUUCUAUUUGAAAAUUUAAAUCUUUUUAUUAUUCAGGGAACUUAUUCCAUUAUCUAUUUGGUUAUUUCUUCUUGCCCAGCUCUCCCUCUCUCUUUUUGGGGAGCCCUGUAUCAGUUCCAUGUCUCUUAUCUUUUCACUUGUGAUUGCUAUGAUUUUUGCUUUAUGUCUUCCUUUGAUUUCCCAAGAUAUUAACUUGGUUUAUAGCACUUUUAAGUUUCAUUAUUGAAAUUUAAAAUUUUGAAACCCUAUUUCUCUUUCCUAAAACUCUAUUUAUUUUUUUGUUCCCUUAUUGUUCUGUUGUGCUAUAUUGUAAAACCUUAAGAAUUUACACUACAGCUCAGUCAAGACUUUGAUUUUUCCAACUAAAUAUAUUCUCACUGGAAACCAACUUCUCUGAACACUUGAUUUGGUCUAACUCCUUAAAAUUAGUGUGUUCUUAUGAUCCUUAAUCUAUUUCUGCCUACUCAUGUGUUUGGGUGAGAGUUUCCUUAAAUGUAUCUUAGUUGUCAUUUCAGGUUCUCCAGGAAACCAAUUUGAGUUGAUUAGGGAUACGGAAUAUGCUUCUUUGCUGUGAGGCAAGUAACAGUACUGCUGGCUCAGCUGAGGUUAGAUGUUCAGGCCUUUUGCUUUUUGUGCCUUUUUAGUACAAGUGGGAAAGAGAGAGACCCCUCUCCCAGCUGCACUCAAAGAAAGCAGUUGAUUCCAACAGUUAAUUUCUACUAAAGCAGGAUUAACUACAUCCUGAUUAUUAAAAUUCUAUCAAAACCACACAUAGAGGGCAGGACAAAAUCCUUUAGAGGCUCCACUCCAUGAACAGAAACUGGAGUGUCCCCUGUCCUCCCACCACACUAUAUAUAAUACAUGAUAAAAACAAUCAGCAUAAGAAAAUCCAGCCAUGCUGUGAUCCUCACAUGAUACUUUAAAGUCAAUCAUCAAAUACUAUUAAUUUUAAUUUUCCCAUAAUCCCUGCUUUACCAUUGCCAUAAGCACUUGCUUGUUUGGUCAGGAAAUAAUCCAGCGAUAUAUGUAUUGUGAGCAGGCUGGGUGGUUCAUCUAUAAAUGUUGAGGGAAUCCAUCCAGCAUUCUUAGCUGGAACGCCCUAGCAGCUGUGAGACCAAAUUCUUUGCUCCAAUGCCAUCAUGAAAACCUUUUCCCAGGCCUCUGAACCUGAGUUUUCCUGUGGAGCAGUAAACAGGGGCAUUCUAAUGCUAACCUCUCCUGGCACUGACUGCCCUAGUCUCAAUAGAAUAAAAGGUUCGGAUGUAUUUGGGGGCCCUAUUAUUUUCCAGGAAUAAGUUGCACUCAAGAUACAGGUUGAGCUGUCUCUAACGUAAUAGGGAGAGUAAGGGAGUCAUAGAUAUGUUCUUAGGAAAGUAUUUUCAAGGAUUUUGUAUAAUUUUUAGGUGAUAACAUCAUCCUGUUUUCAUAAAAUGAGAUGAACAAGGUUCAGUCCUAAUUCGAUAGUUUGCUGUCUUCAGAAUAUUUCAACAUUACUUGAGUUCUUUUCUUUAUUGAAAAAAAAUCAUCUUAAGAACUAGAGCUGAAACAGUACAUAAAGUGAUGUAGCCUCAGUGCUUUUUAUGAGUAAAUGUUCUUCCAGGACUAGAUUCAAUUAACUACAUUAGUUUAAUGAGAAGUCCAAUUUCCCAGAUACCAUCUUUGAUGUUCAGAAUUACACUGAAGUUAUUUGUGUAGAAACUGGUGAUCAGUACAGAAAAUUGACUUUAUAAUUGUUCAAACAUUUUGAAAUUCUAAAUUGCGAGUUUCCUUGGUGAUAGAUUGAUUGCAUAGUUGGUAUUUUAGAAUGCUCAUUACUUUUUCAUAAAAAUUAUUAAAUGGAAAUAUACAUGAUUUUCUAUUCAUCCCUUCUAUGUCUGUUUCUUUUUGACUUGCUCAGAUUGCUAAUGGAGAAGAAAGUGAUAUAGGCUUCUUCCCAGCUUGAUUUAAGAUCACAGUUGACUCACAUCUAACUCUUUUUUUGUUUCCUCUUUUAACAUUUUCAUUAAAGUAUAGUUGAUUUACAAUGUUUCUUCAAUUUCUAUUGUACAGCAAAGUUACCCAGUCAUAUGUAUAUGUACAUUUUUUUUCCAUACCAUCUUCUAUCAUGUUCCAACACAAGAGAUUGGACAUAGUUACCUGUGUUGUACAGUACAGUAGUACAAUCCCAUUGCUUAUUUAUUUCAGAUGUAACAGUUUGCAUCUACUAGCCCCAAACUCCCUGUCCAUCCUUCUCAUUCCCCCAAUCUCCCCCGCCCCCGGCAACCACAAGUCUAUUCUCCAUGUCCAUGAUCUGUUUCUAUUUUGUAAAUAGGAUUGUCUUGCCAUAUUUUAUAUUCUGCAUGUAAGUGAUAUCAUAUGGUAUUUGUCUUUCUCUUUCUGACUUACUUCACUUAGUAUAAGAAUCUCUAGUUGCAUCCAUGUUGCUGCAAAUGGCAUUUUGUCCUUCGUUAUGGCUGAGUAGUAUUCCAUUGUAUAUAUGUACAUGUCUUCUUAAUCCAUUCAUCUGUUGAUGGACAUUUAGGUUGUUUCCAUGUCUUGGCUAUUGUGAAUAGUGCCUCUAUGAACAUACGGGUGCAUGUAUUUUUUGAAUUAAAGUUUUGUCUGGAUAUUUGCCCAGGAGUGGGAUUUCUGGAUUAUAUGGUAGUUCUAUAUUAAGUUUUCCAAGGAGCCUCCAUACUGUUUUCCAUAGUGGUUGUACCAAUUUACAUUCCCACCAACAGUGAAGGAGGGUUCCCUUUUCUCCCUGCCUUCUCCAGCAUUUGUUAAUUGCUCGUUAAUGAUGGCCAUUCUGACUGGUGUGAGGUGGUACCUCAUUGUACUUUUGAUUUGUAUUUCUAUAAUUAGUGAUGUUGAGUAUUUUUUCAUGAGUCUCCUGGAUAACUGUAUGUCUUCUUUGGAGAAAUGUCUGUUUAAGUCUUCUUCCUAUUUUUGAAUUGAGUUUUGUUGUUGUUGAAUUGUGUGACUUGUUUCUACAUAUUGAAGAUUAGGCCUUUGUUGCAUUGUUUUGCAAAGAUUUUCUCCCAUUCUGUGGGUUUUUUGUUUUUUUAUUGGUUUUCUUUACUGUGCAAAAGCAUUUGAUUUUAAUUAAGUCCCAUUGGUUUAUUUUUAUUUUUAUCGACCUUAUUCUAAGAGGUGGAUCAAACAAGAUGUUGCUGUGAUUUAUGUCAAAGUGCAUUCUGCCUUUGUUUUCCUCUAGGAGUUUUAUAGUAUCUGGCCUUAUAUUUA
rnacentral:lncRNA from 1 species